AAUUCUUGCAUAAUAUAUAAACUAUCAUAAAACGAUAAUGCAACUAUAAGGCAACUAUUUGCACUUGCAUACAGUUAUUUUGUAGUUUUAUUAUAGUUUUGCUACUUGCAUAUGUUAUUUCACUAUAAAAUUAAUAUGCAACUAUUUGCACAAAACUUACUAUGUAUAACUACUAUUUCUUAGUCCCCAUCAAAUUAAAUUCUUGCAUAAUAUAUAAACUAUCAUAAAACGAUAAUGCAACUAUAAGGCAACCAAAACAAAAAAUAAAUCAAAAUGUAACUGUAUAUAACGUAGAUGUAUUAUUCAUGAGGUUUUUUUUUUUUUAAAUUUUCACAUCAGACAUUGUUUUGAAAUUGAUGGGAGGUCCAGAUCUGUUUGUUACAGAUCUACAUUUCAUGAAUCUGGAUUUCGAUAUUAGGGGGAGUUGUUUUGAUCGAAUAAAACAGAAAACAAAUGUGUAAUUUCAGUUUCUUCACAGUUUUUCUGAUUUUUUUUUUCGUCAUUUUCAGUUUAGAUCAUUGCAGGUAUUCUUUUCCAGUUGAUUUUGCCAGAAUUAAUAGUUGUAUUUUUCUCGUUUUGGUUUCAUUUUGGUUGUUUUGCGGUUUUGAAACGAGCGCGUAUUUUCAUCUUCAUGGUUCGCUCUGUACAGCUGAAGGCUUAGUGCAUGUGGUAUUUUUGUAAAUAUUUAUAUAUAGACUGUAUAAAUGUUUAAUGGGCCGGCCCAAAGUAUUUUUGUAAUUUUUUUUCCUUUUUUGCAUUUUUUUGUUUUUUUCCCAAAAAUCUUUUUUGGAAGUAUUUCAAUAAAAAUAAAAAAUAAUUUUUAAUUUUCUUUUGAAAAUGCUAGGAACCAUGACUUCUCCAAAAUAAAUUUUAAAGCGCAAUAAAAAAUAUCUUUAUAUAGUAAUUAUUUUAACUUAAAAUAAUAAUUAUCUAAAAAAAUAAUAACCUAAAUCUUUUACAAUUUUUUUUUUUUUUUUGACAUUAAGAUCAUUUACUUUUUAGAUCUAGACAAAAUGAUGCAUUUUUAACUUUAUCUUGGACAAGCUUGUGUCCAAACUCCAAAGGUGGAAAGUAAAAACCCUCUCUAAAGUAGGUUAGGCUACUAUGAUCAAAUCAGUUGGGCUUACUCUUCUAAAUUACACGAUGCAAAUGACUAAACCUUCCAAGAGACUUGCUUUUAAAGUUGAUGGCACAAGGGACUUUUGGUGGGAUUGUGAGAAGGGAAAUUGUUAAGACCGCUUAGUUUAAUUUGGAAAUUAGCAGUUAAUCACGUUUAAUUAUGAAAUUAUUUAUAGCUAUUUAAAUAAUUAUUUAUACUGUUAUUAUUGAAUUCUGAGAUGCAUUUUUAUGUCAGUUAGUAGUUUUCAUAAUUUUGCAUUUUCGGUGCCCGGUAACAUGGAACUCGGUGUUUGGCUCAGUAAAAUCACAACUUAGUAUGUUAGUAGAUUGGGACGGUUUAUUAGACAUUGGGAAUGUCGGGAAUGGCCGGGAAUUCGGAAUUUCCCAAAAUACCCCUUUAGUGUUAGUUAUGUGAUUUUGGUGUGAAGGGGCAAAAUAGUCAUUUUGCCCCAUUAUUAGUUUGUCCUUUAGUGGACUUAGUAAGUGGAAUAUUAUGUGUUUUAGUAUGUUUUAUGUUGGCUGAAAUAAAAAGAGUUAGGUUGCAUUUAUUUCAUUUAGUCAAAAAUUUCAAAAGUUAGAAAAUUGGAAAUUCAAAGGCUCUCUUUCUUUCUCUCCUUUUCGGUUUUGAGCAGCUGGGUUUGGAGGGGAUUUCUCUUGGAUUUCAAGCUGAUUUUAGCAUAGAUUUUGACCUCAAGUGGUUGGAGCCUGUAAUCCGCCGCGCAGAUAGUUCCAGUCAGGUUGAUCGACACACCUGAAUUCGGAAUCCAGGUAAAGGCAAGGCUAGAGCUGAUGGACCGUGAACGAGCCUAUGAAGAUUGUACAUGUCGGGGCGGUUAGGCCUGGAGCGUACGAUCAUCGGGACAGCGAGGCUAUUUUUGUAAUUAGUCGCUAGGCGACAAGUAUUUUGUAUAAACAGUAAACUUUUGUAAAUAGUUUUGUAAUCGGGAUCCCGAGUCUUUUGUAUAAAUAUUUUACAAGUUUAAUUAAAAAGAAAAAUUUUAAUUAAUCACGUUUUUCCAUAAACCUCGUUGAUUAGCAACGAGCUGCACAGUAUGUUUAAAAUCACGUAAUACGCCUAUGCUUGUUAGGGUGUUACAGAAAUCAUGGUCUCUAUUUGAAAGCGUGGGAUAGUCUGUGCCUCCCCAAAUCUUGUGGGGGCUUAGGCUUCCAAAAAAUUAUGGAGAUGAACUAGAAUUUCUUAGCUAAAUAGGAUUGGCAUAUGCUCAAUGAGCACCAAUCACUAUGUUGCAGGGUCUUAAGUGCCGAGUAUCUAAAAGGAAAGCAUUUAAUGAAGUGCACUUAUAAAAAUUCGGACUCCUAAUUUUGGAAGAAUAUUGUGAAAGCCAGAGAGAUUAUGAAGAAAGGGGUUUGUAAGAUGGUGUCUGAUGGGAAAGACAAAAAUAUUUAGGAAGACUCAUGGAUACUUCAUGGCAAAGAGUUAUGUCCUAGUCCUGUGGCCAAUCUCACUAGGGGUCUUGAAAAGGUUGUUGGCCUGUUGUAAGACAAUGGAGAUUGAGAUCUCCUUAAGCUUUAUUCCUUCCUUGACUGUAAGUCUCUAAUUCAGUUUGUAAUAUUCUGAAAAGGGGUAAGCCUAGUAGCCAGGGUAAAGACCGGUGGAUUUAGACCAAGGAACCUAAAAGUAUAUUCUAUAGUAAACUUGCUUACUUGGUUCAAGCUUUUGACAGUGCUCCUCCCUUGUGGCUCCAUCCCUUUGGAAAAAAUUAUGGAAUAACAAAGUGUUGAAAUGCCAUAAGGUUUUUUGGUGGAGCAAUCUCUCAAAUGCCCUUCUAAUUCAAGCUCUUCUAGCUUAGAGAAUACAAAUUGAAGAUGUCUUUUGCCCUCUUUUAGGUAAGGUAGAGGAGACUACGGAACACCUUUUUCUCAAUUAUAACUUAACUUUCUACUUAUGGAGAUAUUCCCCUAAAGGGUUAUGCCGGUUUUUGAUUCAGGUGCUCGUGUUUGGGAUUGGAUAAAGUUUCUAUGGGCCUUGAAGUUGAAGGAUGUCAAUGUUGAUGGGCUUUUCCUCUAAGCUUCAAUUGUGGUGGAUACGAUUUGGUAAGCCCGUAAUGACAAGGCACAUAAUAACAAUAUGAGUAACAUCAAACAAUAUAUUGAUUAUAUCAGUUAUUGUUAUGCAGAUUAUGACUCCUAUUUGUUCCCUAAUUCUCCAGUUCCUGCCUCACUUCUUUGGUCGCCACCCUCAGAAGAUUGGAUUAAAAUUAAUUGUGA